GUGGGGAAUAUUGGGCAAUGGGCGAAAGCCUGAUCCAGCAAUGCCGCGUGUGUGAAGAAGGCCUUCGGGUUGUAAAGCACUUUUGGCAGGAAAGAAAUAGUGCGUGCUAAUACCAUGCGCGAAUGACGGUACCUGCAGAAUAAGCACCGGCUAACUACGUGCCAGCAGCCGCGGUAAGACGUAGGGUGCAAGCGUUAAUCGGAAUUACUGGGCGUAAAGCGUGCGCAGGCGGUUUUGUAAGACAGGUGUGAAAUCCCCGGGCUCAACCUGGGAACUGCACUUGUGACUGCAAGGCUAGAGUGUGUCAGAGGGAGGUGGAAUUCCGCGUGUAGCAGUGAAAUGCGUAGAGAUGCGGAGGAACACCGAUGGCGAAGGCAGCCUCCUGGGAUAACACUGACGCUCAGGCACGAAAGCGUGGGGAGCAAACAGGAUUAGAAACCCUUGUAGUCC
rnacentral:rRNA from 1 species